GGAGUUAGCCGGUGCUUCUUCUGUGAGUGAUGUCCUUCCUGCCGGUUAUUGACCCGCAGGCCUUCUUCCUCACUGAAAGUGCUUUACAACCCGAAGGCCUUCUUCACACACGCGGCAUGGCUGGAUCAGGGUUGCCCCCAUUGUCCAAUAUUCCCCACUGCUGCCUCCCGUAGGAGUCUGGGCCGUGUCUCAGUCCCAGUGUGGCUGAUCAUCCUCUCAGACCAGCUACGGAUCGUCGCCUUGGUGAGCCGUUACCUCACCAACCAGCUAAUCCGACAUAGGCUCAUCCGAUAGCGCGAGGCCCGAAGGUCCCCCGCUUCCCCCGUAGGGCGUAUGCGGUAUUAGCCUGGGUUUCCCCAGGUUAUCCCCCACUACCGGGCAGAUUCCUAUGCAUUACUCACCCGUCCGCCGCUCGCCACCAGGGAGCAAGCUCCCCGUGCUGCCGCUCGACUUGCAUGUGUUAGGCCUGCCGCCAGCGUUCAAUCUGAGCCAGAAUCAAACUCUGA
rnacentral:rRNA from 1 species